AGAGUCCUGAAAUGUACGUUGUGUUACCUGAAGUUUUGACCGAACAUUUUUAUUUCGGGAGUCCGGAGUUUUUCUGAUUGCGUAAAUGCCUCACCCAUUGACGGGAUAGAGGACUUACAAUACCGGAAACAGGACACCCACCUGCUGAGUGCGGGUUUCAAAACGAAGGACAUAAGCGACGGCAUAAUUGGGACUCUU
rnacentral:other from 1 species